UACCGGCAGCCCAAGUGAUGGCCGAUAUUAUUGGGCCUAAAGCGUCCGUAGCUGGCCGGACAAGUCCGUUGGGAAAUCCGCAUGCUUAACGUGCGGGCGUCCAGCGGAAACUGUCCGGCUUGGGACCGGAAGACCCGAGGGGUACGUCCGGGGUAGGAGUGAAAUCCUGUAAUCUCGGACGGACCACCUGUGGCGAAAGCGCCUCGGGAAGACGGAUCCGACAGUGAGGGACGAAAGCCAGGGUCUCGAA
rnacentral:rRNA from 1 species